rnacentral:rRNA from 1 species
AGCGGACUGUGCGUGGAGCUUGCUCCAGACAGGUUAGCGGCGGACGGGUGAGUAACACGUGGGCAACCUGCCUGUAAGACUGGGAUAACUCCGGGAAACCGGAGCUAAUACCGGAUAGUAUCUUGAACCGCAUGGUUCAAGUUGGAAAGACGGUUUCGGCUGUCACUUACAGAUGGGCCCGCGGCGCAUUAGCUAGUUGGUGAGGUAAUGGCUCACCAAGGCAACGAUGCGUAGCCGACCUGAGAGGGUGAUCGGCCACACUGGGACUGAGACACGGCCCAGACUCCUACGGGAGGCAGCAGUAGGGAAUCUUCCGCAAUGGACGAAAGUCUGACGGAGCAACGCCGCGUGAGUGAUGAAGGUUUUCGGAUCGUAAAACUCUGUUGUUAGGGAAGAACAAGUGCGAGAGUAACUGCUCGCACCUUGACGGUACCUAACCAGAAAGCCACGGCUAACUACGUGCCAGCAGCCGCGGUAAUACGUAGGUGGCAAGCGUUGUCCGGAAUUAUUGGGCGUAAAGCGCGCGCAGGCGGUUUCUUAAGUCUGAUGUGAAAGCCCCCGGCUCAACCGGGGAGGGUCAUUGGAAACUGGGAAACUUGAGUGCAGAAGAGGAGAGUGGAAUUCCACGUGUAGCGGUGAAAUGCGUAGAGAUGUGGAGGAACACCAGUGGCGAAGGCGACUCUCUGGUCUGUAACUGACGCUGAGGCGCGAAAGCGUGGGGAGCGAACAGGAUUAGAUACCCUGGUAGUCCACGCCGUAAACGAUGAGUGCUAAGUGUUAGAGGGUUUCCGCCCUUUAGUGCUGCAGCUAACGCAUUAAGCACUCCGCCUGGGGAGUACGGUCGCAGACUGAAACUCAAAGGAAUUGACGGGGCCCGGCACAAGCGGUGGAGCAUGGUG